UGAUGUCAUCAGUGGAGGGAGGUUGGGGGCCAGAGAGUGGGGCUUGUGAUGGGAGAAACUGAGCAAAGUCUUCGGUGAGAUCCUCAGAGGUCCCCCAUGAAGAAAUGGCAUCAAUUUUUCCACCUCUUGAAUGUGGAUUGGCCUUGUGACAUGCUUUGGCCAAUAGAAUUUGGUGAAAGUAACUACGUACAAGUCCAAGUCAAAGCCUUGAGCACUUCUUCCUUCUCUUGGAACCCUGCCACAGCUGUGAGAAUAGUCUGCUGAAGGCCGAGAUACCACGUGGAAGAGCUUAGUUAUUUCAGCCAAGAUCAUUCUAAGCAAGCCUGUAGCCACCUGAACAUCAAAAACUGAGCCACAGCUGACACAGAUGUAUAUUUGCACCAGGUUGAGUUGCUGGUUGGUCUAUGCUGGAGGUACCUCUGGGAGCACCAAGACACUACUAACCAAUCACAUUGAGAGCAACUGGAACCUCUCUCCAGGCAUGAGAAAACAGUAAGAAAGGCACCACCCAUGGCUAGAAACGUGAACAUAUUAGAAGAUCCCAUACAAGCAACCUCAAAAAAAGUCCCAGGAGGGCCAUGCUGGGCUUCAGUGUCCGCCUUGACUAGCUGAUGCUUCACGGAACUUUACCACUCUCCAAGCCACAUCUAAGAAGAGCCUUCUACACACCAAGCUUACUGAACUAGAGGUUUGGUCCAUCUCUCAGAGGAACUGGCUGGUACAAGAUUGUCUGGCAAGGUGUCGAAGGAGCUGGCCAGUUAGGCACUAUCACCAAGCUCCCUGGACAUGAAGAUGUUGGUUGUGUUUGGAAAAGGUUCUGAGAAUGCAGUGGUGGAUUGGACUCACUCUCUGCCAUGUGAGGACACGGAGAGAAGAUGGCCCUCUAUGAACCAGGCAGCAGGCCCUCACUAGACACUGAGUCAGCUGGCACCUUGAUCUUGAACUUCCCAGCCUCCAAAACUUGACCUACAGUAUCACUCCGUGUUGUACAGAUAUUUGAUCAUUAAACUUCUACCUCACCCAACCGAAGAAUCUCUGACACAGAUCUUACUUUCAGGAGCCCUGUUUGAGCAACUCUAAGCUGAGAUGAGAACAGUCUUGCUGCAAAUGAACUUCGUCUCUGAGCUCUUUUUGUUGAUGUCUAGAGUGAGAGUUUCUAGAAUCUAUCUGUGGGAUCUAUAUUAAGUUAUAGUUUGUAUCAAAUGGCAUGAUAGUCUUUACCAAGCAAGAGGGCAGUGGAGUGUUUUUGUGGUUCUUUAUGGGCACUGAAAUAUUUACUAACCAUGUUGGUUUUAUUAAGUAAUUGGAGAUACAGACAAAUCAACACCUCGGGGAAAUCUACCUGACUCAAAACAUUUCAGUCAGUUUCCUGGUCACUGCUGAGCCGAAGAAUUCAUCGGGAGUGAAUGCCAGAGUUGAGGGUUGUUCUGAAGACCCUGAACCCAGCAGGAAACAGCCUGGAGAGCCAUGUACAACUGGGCAGAGAGGAAAUGACAGGAGACAGGUUGGGUUGACUGUCUUAGGCAAGAACAUAUUGGAACGGCGUUGAACAACGUGAAGAGGGAAUCACAGAUAUUCAAAGGAUAUUAAGACCUUUUUCCUUCCCCUGUAUCUCUAAAUUUCAAAGUAAAAAAACAAAACAAAACCUAAUUUUUUUGUAAAGUUUGUAAAACUUGAAAUUAGGCACUUUGGGUUGGAAAAGGGUUAUAAAUCAGACACAUUGAAAAAUACCUCUACUAAACAUUGAACAUAACUACAUUUGAUAAACCUCUCCUUGCCUAAAACUUCAACUACUACUUUUUGAGGGUUAAAUAUAUAAAGUUUGGAUCAACUUUUUUUUUAUGUUAAAUAUCCCUGAUAUUGAAAGUAAUUCUAGCAUUUUCUAGUGUUGCUAGAUGAAAUACAGGAUGCCCAGUUAAAUAUGAGUUUCAAAUAAACAACAAAUUUUUAAAAUAUAAAUGUCCCAUGCUGAUAAAUAUUCAUAUAAAAUGAAGGAAUUUUCCUUUUAGAGAUAAGCAGACAGGAAACUAAGUAAUUGUGUGUCUGCUGUGGAAGUAAAAGUUCUAGCUGCCAAGGGUCAGCCUUAAUUCUUGUUUCAAGCAAACACAUCUUUCCUUUGCAGUCUGUUCCGUGUGUCCCACGCAGCAUGGGGAUAUACUUGUCCUAAAAAUUAUUUGUGGUUUAUCUGAAAUCUGAAUUUACCUGGUAUCCUGUACGUUUAUUUACUAAAUCUUGCAAUCCUGUUUCUAUUACCAAAUCUAUUGAGUAUGAUUUCUAUAAAUUUGGUCUCUGGUUUAAGUUAAAUAUCUAUACUUCUAAUUCCUGAAGCUGUUUAAAUGGUUUCAUUAAAUAAAAGUAAUAUGAUCCAAUAUGAUUGUUCUAAUUUCUGAAGACUAUCUACGUCAUUAAAGUUUAACUUUCAAUUUUGCUUGGAACCUCCCUUCUUUCUUACUAAGAGUCUGCCUUUCUCCCCCACCCUAUAUAUGUAUAUAUACAUAUAUAUAUAUAUAUGCAUAUAUAUAUAUAUGUUUGUAAACACGUGCACUCAGAUAUAAUCAUAUUUGGUGACUUUUUCCAUUAAACCCUCACAGAAUUUUACAU